rnacentral:lncRNA from 1 species
GUUAACACAAAUGCUCAAAUGUUGCCUAAUCUUCUUUUGUCAUUAUUGUUUCAUCCAGGACCUUUCAGCUUGGAAAACGAUUGGCAUGGGUGAAGUGAAGGAAGGGUUUUAUCAUAUGAUGCUCAAGGAUGUUUCUUCUUCAGCCUUAUCAGAUUACUUAAGCAAGUUGCAUAACCAGUUUCCAAUCUCCGCUUCAGUGACCUCUAAUACCCAAAGUUUUGAUGUUUGGCAUUACAGAUUAGGACACGCUUCUUACUCUAUCCUUAGUGUAGAUGGUGAUGUUCAAUUUUCAAAGUCGUCCAAUAAUAAGUUUUGCUCUAUAUGUCCUUUACCUAAAAUGCACAAGUUACCUUUUCUUAAGAGCACUCACAAAACUAGAAAGUGUUUUGAAUUACUACAUUGUGAUAUUUGGGGUCCUUGUAAUGAAAUUGGUAGUGAUCGUUCUAAAUAUUUCUUAACCAUUGUGGAUGAUUUUAGCAGAUGCACUUGGGUAUAUACCUUAAAACUAAAAUCUGAUGCUACCAGUGCACUGCAAGGCUUUUGUGCUGUGGUUGAAACACAAUUUGAAGCUAAAAUUAAAAUCAUUAGAACGGAUAAUGGUGGGGAGUUCAAUAUGAAAGAAUUUUACCUUAAAAAAGGCAUUAUACACCACAAAACUUGUAUUGAAACACCCCAACAAAAUGCUAUUGUUGAAAGAAAGCAUCAACACAUUCUUAACAUAGCUAGGGCCUUGAAACUUCAAAAUGGAAUCCCAUUGAAAUAUUGGAACCAUUGUGUUUUAACCACAAUGUAUCUCAUAAAUAGGACCCCUUCAUCCAUAUUGAAAAACAAAAGCCCUUGUCAGAUCUUAUUCAAUGAAAGACCACUUUACAAUCAUCUCAAAGUAUUUGGUUGUCUUGCCUUUGCUACCACCAUUGUCAAUGGAAAACACAAAUUUGAUCCUAGAGCAAAGAGAUGCGUGUUCAUAGGCUAUCCAUUUGGAGUCAAGGGAUAUACUCUACUAGACCUCGAAACCAAGAAAUUUUUUGUCUCUAGAAAUGUAUUGUUUUAUGAAAAUAUUUUUCCUUUCAAAGAAAAUUCCAUCAAGACAGAUCAAAACAAUAUCAUCUCCACUCAAGAUCUCAUAAUUCACAAUGAAACAAUCACCACAUUCCCAAACACUAGUCAUGACAUUGAUGUGCCAGAAACAAAUUACCAAACCGUUCAGCCCAUGGAAGAUUUUUUACAAAAUUCUGACCAUGAUAAAUCCCAGCCUGACACUAACACUGAUAAUCUAGACCUCAAUAACUCUUCUUCACCAUCAAAUACAACUCCAGUCACUCAUUUUCCUCGCAGGUCAACAAGAAUCAGAAAAGCACCAACAUAUCUCCAGGACUUCAUAUGCCAUCAAGCCACCUCCCUUCACCCAUCUCAAAGGUUGGACAAGCUAAAGGAACAAAACUCUUUAGGUAAUCACUAUCCUCUUAACACUUGUGUUUCUUAUGAGAAAUUAUCAGAUUCACAUAAAGCUUUCGUUACCUCUAUCACUUCUCAAUCUGAACCUAGAAAUUACCAAGAAGCCCAAAAUUUCCCUGAGUCGAAUGCAGCCAUGAAAACUGAAAUUGAAGCUCUUGAACUUAAUGACACUUGGGUUUUAGUCGACCUACGUCCUGGCAAGAAAGCAAUAGGUUGUAAAUGGGUAUACAAAGUAAAGUUCAAUGCUGAUGGGAGCGUAGAAAGAUUCAAAGCAAGACUUGUUGCUAAAGGAUACACGCAACAAGAAGGAAUUAAUUAUCACGA